AUCUAAACUGUCUCAAGAAUAGUUCAGUUCAUUCUUUCAGCCAUGCCAUUUUGUUGUGGGGUAUGAGUUACUAUUCUGUGUCUUAGAAUACCAUGCUCUUUGCACAAUUCAUCAAAUUCAUAAUUGCAAAAUUCAAACCCGUUAUCAGUCCUUAAGACUUUAAUCUUUUUAUUUGUUUGAUUUUUAAUCAAGAUUUUCAAUUCCUUAAAAUCAUUAGAAGUGUUGGACUUAUGUUUAAGGAGAAAGAGCCAGUUUUUCAUAGAAAAAUCUCUAUGAUUAAUAGGAAAAUCUGAAACCAGUAUGUGUGGGCAUAGAAGCUGGUCCCCAAAGAUCAGCAUGCAAAUACUCAAGAAUAGACACAGAUUUAUGCAUCCCAGGCAGAAAUGGAAGUCUAUUUUGCUUUCCUAGUAUACAUGAUCACAAAAACUGAGUUUCUCAAUUAUAUCUUUACCAAAGGCACCUUGUUUUUUUCAAAAUUUGCAAGCCUUUGUCACUAAUAUGGACCAAUCUUUUAUGCCAUAGUUGUGACUUAUCAUUGGGGGUAGAAAUUGCUCCUGAUGUGGAGUCAAAAAGGUUUUGAGUGUGUAAAAUGUAAAGCCCAUGUCUCUUGGGGGCUUCGACAACAAGUUUAAAGCCCCUCAAGAUUUUAAUGUAUCCUUUAUUAAUCACAAUAUUAUAGUUCAGGUCAUCUAGAACACCUAAGGAUAUAAGAUUUCUUUGUAGAUUGGGAACAUACCUGGUUUUUUUCUAAAGUCAGUUCAUUAUUAUCGUUAAACCUUAAGGUGAUUGUUCCUAUUCCUUUUACUUGACAAGACAUGUGAUUACCCAUUAACACUUGGCCUCCAUAUACAUUUUCAAACUCAGUAAACCACUCUCUUUUAGGAUAUAUGUGAAAGGUGCAACCAGAGUCAAGGAUCCACUCCUGACUAGGUAUACUGUGUGCAGCAACAUAAACAUCAUCUAUGUUGUACUCAUUUUUAUAAGCCAAGGCGGCACCACCAUCAUUAUUAGACUUAUUUUUCAAAUCAUUAAGUCUCUUACGGCAAUCUUUGAUAAAAUGACCUUCACCUAACAGUAAAAAUAUUU
rnacentral:lncRNA from 1 species